rnacentral:lncRNA from 1 species
UGCUUUCAAAGUUUUAUUUAUGCCUUGUUACACCAAAAGUAAAUAGUCCAUUCAAAAUAAACUAGUGACCUGCAUAUUUUCAUAUGGAUGAAUGACUGUAUAUCUAAAUAGGAAAUAAAUGGCAAUCCUAUCUACCUAUAUUAAAAAAUAGACAGUCUUUCCAGAUUUUUGCAUACUAAGGAGAGGUACGGGGUCUUAAGGUCUCACAACGGGUGGUCAGGAAAGCAGCAGUUAUCCCGAAACAUCUUGACAUCUGACUCAACUGUUCCUAAAUGAUAGUUUAAAAGACACUGUAAACACGUUUUCAAAUCCAUAGUUAUUCUGAGAUGGUUCCAACGUUAACCCUAGAACUACCAGAAAGAAUUAGCAGUACAAUAGAGAAGAACAGAUAAUCCACCUGACGAUACAUGUGCUCUCUUCAGGAAAUCAGUCUGGUCAUCUGGGGAACACUCAGGGUGGGAUGCUCAUCUGGCCAGGUCACACUUUCUAUGCAGGAGACCCACGGCACCAGGCUAGGUCUCUUCUAAGGAGACUUUGCUAGGCAAUGUAACUAGUCCAGUUCCUCUCAGAGCAGUUCUACCCACUUCAACUCACAGCGUGGCAUUGAAACCAGAAGAGCAUACUGGAGCAGAAGUGAGCAGAGACGUAGACUCUUGCACAUUCUUAUUGCUGCAUUGUCUGAAGUUCUGCACAUCUACAACAGUGCUGUCCGGGAAACAGGGGAGUAGUGGCAAUGAGAAAAUAGACUAUUCAUUGCACAAUUAAUAGAAAAGUGAAAACGUUUCCAAAUCUACAAUAAACCUGUAUCCAAAGGAGUGAUAGGUACCUUUGGUUAACUUUUCAACGUGUUUCUGGAGCUCAAUGUCCACAUUAAAGUGAACGUAAGUAUCUUCUUUUCUUGAAGCCACAGGAGUGUCUUGUACGGGAGUUAAAUCUAUGCCAUUCAAAUCU